rnacentral:rRNA from 1 species
UACGUAGGUGGCAAGCGUUGCCCGGAUUUACUGGGCGUAAAGAGCGCGCAGGCGGUCGUUCAAGUCGCGUGUGAAAGCCCUCGGCUCAACUGGGGAGGGUCACGCGAUACUGACCGACUCGAAGGCAGGAGUGGGAAGUGGAAUUCCCGGUGUAGCGGUGAAAUGCGUAGAUAUCAGGAGGAACACCGGUGGUGUAGACGGCUUUCUGGACCGUAACUGACGCUGAGACACGAAAGCGUGGGUAGCAAACAGG